rnacentral:lncRNA from 1 species
UUCCUCUCAGAAAUUCUUGAACAUGGAAUCAGAUGAAAGGCCUUUCAGAGUAAGCAAGAAAGGAAUGAAUAAAACGUGACUAAUCAGAAGGACGGAAAUGGCCCUUUAUUAAAAAGGAGUACAGAACAGACACCUCAAGUGUUUUCAGUAAGGACUGCAUGAAGUGAAGUAACAACCCUGAAGUUCCUGGGGCUAAGGUGGCUGCACAGGGAAAAUGCUUACAUGCGCCCAUGGGUACAGUAACUGAUGGAUCACUGAGAGGACGUCAGAUGGACAGAUCUGUUAAUAAGGAUGUCUGGACGGUCCAUGAGGAUGUUUGUUGCACUAUCUGGUGGAGUUGUGUAAGCAUCUGUGUUUCUCUAAAUAUCUCAGUUGUUUUCUCCAGGAUUUGAACUCUGCCAUUUCCUACAACUG